rnacentral:misc_RNA from 1 species
GAUAACAGAAAUGCCGAAAAGAAGUUGCGUAAGAGUUCAACAAUCAUUGGAGUUAAUAUUAUUGAAGAAUCUCCUACCAAAGACAAAAAGAGAAAGAAGUCCAACGGGCAGAAGUCAGAACAGGCCAAGAAGAAAUCCAAAGGCAACUGUUAUAAUUGUGGCAAGGCUGGUCAUAGAUCUUCUGAUUGUCAUGCUCCAAGAAAGGACAAAAACAAAGGCAAAGGCAAAAGUCAAGCAAACAUCGUGGAAAAGAUGGAAGAUGCAGAUGACUUGUGUGCAAUGAUAUUAGAGUGUAACUUAGUUGGAAAUCCCAAGGAGUGGUUUCUCGACUCAGGAGCUACUAGACAUAUUUUCUCUGCAAAAAAAGCCUUUGCAACGUACACUCCUGCUGAGUACGAUUUAUUCAUGGGAAACACAGCAACAGCAAGGAUUGCAGGAACUGGGAAAGU